UAAUAAAUAUUAAUUUCAUCCACGCAUAAAUGCAUUAUCAAAAAUAAUAAGCAUAAAGUCAUAAAGACAUAACAUUGUGUGUAAUUAAUAUAUAUGGUGAUUUUUUUUAUCUUUGCUUUGUGCUGGUUGGUUUUGAACUUGGACCUGUUGGUGUUUGGACAUCUUCCAAAACCACAAACCACUCAACAAACCGACAUUUAUAUAUCUAGUGAUGGUGAUACAUAUAAACAGAAAGACUUAAUUGCACUUUUCGUCUUUGAAAUAUUGUAAUUGUGCGAUUUGACUCCCUAAUCUUUAAAACGACCAAUUUGAGUCCUGACAUUUUUAAUUUGUGAAAAUCAAGUCCCUCUGUUAAUUUUCCAUCCAAUUUUUAACAGUUGUUGCUUAUGUGUUCUUCAUUAAUGACAUGGAUCUGAUAAUAGAUGACACUAGGAUGCCAUAUCAUAUAUCUUCUUUUUCUUUUAAAAUUUCAUUUUCUUCAACUCUUCUUCAUCUCUCUCCAGAAGCACAUCAGUCCACCACCACUCUCUUCUUCUUUCCUCCAUUUCUCUCCAACAGAACUUGACAGAGAUACCAGAAAUCCGUAAGGAGAAACCCAUAAAUUUCCAGAAGCUGAAGGAAACUUGUUCUUCUUCAUCUGAAGAGGCAUAGUUUGGUAGCAGAGAAUCCAUGGCCACUGCCACAAACACGAACCCGAUUGGAAUUGGGAAACAACAAACUCGAUCAAGGUGACACCACCCAAACUCGAUGAGAACGCGGCGCGACCAGAUUGGGGUUUGAAAGCAAAGAUGGAUUUCACGGUAAUCAGGCUCGUGUUGAACCAACCACAUCCUCUAGACAAUCGACUUAGGAUCCUUCAUGAGGCCCUUCUGCUAAAGGGCUACUAGUGUUGUUGACUUGUUGUGUCUGACCCAUGUUGUUUGAGUUAAAACUUGUUUUGUUAUUGUCACUUUAACUUCUACGUUGUAUCUACGUAGUGGCUCUAAUAUAUGGUCUA